UACAACUGAAAUUUCACAAUGUUGUAAACUAUUACAACCACAAGAAAAAAAAAAUGCCCACCGUAUUCUUUUCCCAGUCCAAAUUUUUUCAUUCUGAGCUUAACUCUCUCCUCAAUGAAACCUUCCUUUCAAUUCAAAAUGAGCUCUUUCUUUUUUGAAUGUCUGUGUUGCUAAUUGUUCUUACACUGUAGUUAUUUAAUGUUAUUCUUUGUUCUUCAUUUAAUGUCUAUUAUCUUAUUUACAUAAUUUAAGUAGGUAAAUUGCCCAAGCUUACAGAGCCAGUAAGCGGCAGUGGCUGCCACAGAGCCCAAGUGGUUUGAUUACAGCUAAUGAGUACAGCUUAAUGACUAGGAUCUCUAUACCUUGGGACAGGGCUGUAUUGCUUUAAUGCCCCAUAGGCAGAUCUCUGUAGGUAUCAUGUACUUCCAAGCCUAACACUUGAUCUAGGCCAGGCCACACUUGCACAUUGCAUUUGCUGCUCUGACAUCAGCUCUACUCAUUGCCUGCCUUUUCCUUGGGAGUCUUACAGACAGAAGUAUAAGAAGGAGACUUUUGUUACUGUUUGUUUUAUUCUGCAGUUUUGUUCAAGAUUAAAAAAUUGGCCAAUAUAUGAGCACCAAAAAAUUAGAACCAAGCAGUUUAAUUGAAUAAUUUUAUCCAGAUUAGUUAAAUCUUAAAAAUUGACUAUUAAUACUUAUGUAAUACAGACAAGGUAUUAUGUUGCUGGUGGAGUUUCUGUUUAUUUCUCUAGCAUUCACUUUCUUAUGUUUAAAAGCUGGACAAAUAUGCACAUCCAUGGUAAAAAAUAUCUCCAUUCACGGUUGCUUUUUGUUGUUGUGUGAACUUUAUGAUUACAUCAUUACUUUAAUAGUUGCCUAGUUAGAAAGCUGAUAGCAAAUAUGUACCAAAAACCUUUAAGUAAUAUUCUUAUUUCUGACAUCUUCACACACAAUAAAUUCAAUUUAUAGAUCCUCUAUUAAAGUGGUAAGUACCAUAUACUUAAAAUGCCAUUUGUGUUUAUUUUAUUGUUAUUCAAAUAAUGCAAGCUCAUUAUGGAAAAUUAGAAAAAAUAAUAAAAUUAUUUAACCACCCUUAAAAUCUUGGAUAACCACAGUUAGUAAUUUUCUCUGUGUAUACAGGGAAUAUAUGUAUGUACAUCUUUUUAAAAAUGGAAUCAUACUUUGCAUACUAUUUUGUAACCUACACUUUUCUUUCCCCAGUUUACUUUGAACGUCUUUUCACGUCAAUAGAUAUGUGUCCAUUAUUAUUCUUAGUGGCUACAUAGUGUUCUACUAAAAUGUCAUCUUCAGAAGAUGAGAGAAUCUAUUAUGCAACUUUAUAUCUUUAUCUAUCUUUGUCAUUAAACAUUUGCCAUAUUUUUUAGUCUUUUCCCAGAAGGCAUAGUUCUAUUAAAGAACCGACAGUAAAUAUAUUUGAAACGUACAGUUCGUUUGCCUGGAUUGUGAUAAGAGCUGCUGCGCAGGUCAGUGAAGCUGUGCUGGCAAUUAACUUGCUUAUCGGGAAGAAGAAUGCUCGAACUGAUAAAGUUAGCCAAGGAGCAUUAUCAAAUAUUCCAGAAUUUGCCACUGUGGAUCUUUUGUCUUCAUAUACAGAUUAUUUGCUUGAUAACUACCAAGUUGUCUUCCCGACUGGCUAUACACUUUCUUACCAAGGUGAAGACAUGGAUGAUGACACAGAUUCUACAAAAAAGACUCAGACUAAAGUAGAUAUUACAUGGAUUCUUCUACUGCGCUACUAUAUUCACCUGCAAA